CAGACCACCACCAGACCCGGGUGCUUCCGGGUAGCCUGGCAGACUCCCGCUUUUCCUGGGACUGAACUGUUCCUCAGGUUCUGUGUGGAGUAAGGAGGCUGAGGCAGGAAGGUCACGAAGAGUUUGAUGGCAGCCAGGACCACUUGGAGGGACCCUGUCUCCAAACUCCCCCCAAAACAACAGAAAACCCCAAAACAAAAACACAUAAACACGAAAGUCCUCUGUCUUCAUCUUUGCUUGUAUGGUGCACUAUUAUUUUGUCUAACGUACAUGGUCUCUCUCACUAUUUCCGGUCUUUCUACAUGACCCUUCAAAUCCACCGUGGGCUGAGAAAGACACCCUGGAGCACAUCUGUUGGGAGUAUUACAGUUGCGCAAGGCACACAACCCACAUCACAUUGGAAUAAGGCGGAAGAUGUCCAUCUCACGGAAAUACUCAGCCUUCAGUCAUGUGCCUGGAGUUUAAAUGACUUGACGGAGACCCAGUUUCCUUCUCAUCCAUCCUCUUCCUCACCUGGGCUUCCUCCUCGGCCCCUGCUCCUGACAGCUCCGAGACAAACUGGUCAGCGCAAGUUCAGAGAAGACCAGUGCGAUCCGCCCAGUAGCUCUGGUGCUGGUUCCAGGAUGCAGCAGCUGCCACACACGCCUGUCCUGGACGCAGUUGCUGUGGCUGGGAAACUGUCCCCAGCCCGCUCUGGGCAGCUGCGGUCCUGUCUCUGGGACAAGGGGCAGCUCCAGUUGUCAGGUGGAGGCCUCCACAUCAUUCUUGGAAACAAGAGGCUCAAACGGAGGGAGAGGGGCGGAGGGAAAGCUCCAGGCAGAAGAGGAGCAGUGGAAAUGCCGCAGCCUGGUGACAAACGGGUUACAGAAACCAGGGCUAGGGACAGGCGUGGGGAAGCCCUCGGGACUGCUUUAUGGGGAAAGCCCGAGCAUUAUUAGCAUACACGUUCGCACGAUGGUUAUUUGGUGGGACAGCAGUAUUUCUUCAUAUCCC
rnacentral:lncRNA from 1 species